UAAAGUCUAAUCUGCCCACUGAUAAUUAUAUUAAAGGGCUGCAGUAUAUUGACUGUACAAAGGUAGCAUAAUCAAUAGUCUUUUAAUUGAAGACUUGUAUGAAGGAUUUGAUGAGAUAUAAACUGUCUCUAAUUUAUUAUUGUAGAACUUAAUUUUUUAGUUAAAAAGCUAAAAUUUUUUUAAAAGACGAGAAGACCCUAUAGAGUUUUAUAUUUAUUUUAUUUAAGAUUAUAUUUAUAAUUAAAAAUUAAAAAUAAAUGUAAAUAUUUUGUUGGGGUGAUAAAAAAAUUAAAAUAACUUUUUUUAAAAAAUAACAAAAAUAAUUGAAAAAUUGAUCCAUAAUUUAUGAUUAAAAGAAAUAAUUACCUUAGGGAUAACAGCGUAAUAUUUUUUUUUAGUACAAAUAAAAAAAAAAGUUUGCGACCUCGAUGUUGGAUUAAGAUAAAAUUUAAAUGCAAAAGUUUAAAAUUUUGAUCUGUUCGAUCAUUAAAAUCUUACAUGAUCUGAG
rnacentral:rRNA from 1 species